GGGGUUGUGGCUCAGUGGUAGAGCGCUUGCCUAGCAUGCAUGAGGCACUAGGUUCAAUCCCUGCCACCCUA
rnacentral:tRNA from 1 species